rnacentral:rRNA from 1 species
AUAAUCCGUAGUAUCCCCGCCCUAAACGAUGUCUAUAGUGUUGAGCAAUGCUUUAGUACUGCAGCUAACGCGUGAAGUAGACCGCCUGGGGAGUACGAUCGCAAGAUAAAACUCAAAGGAAUUGACGGGGGCCCGCACAAGCGGUGGAUAUGUGGAUUAAUUCGAUGCAACGCGAAAACCUUACCUACCCUUGACAUGUACCGAACCUCGCAGAAUGAGGGUUCCCAAAGGGAGGUUACACAGGUGCGCAUGGUUGUCUCAGCUGUGUCUAGAUGUGGGAAUCCGCAAGACGCCCCUUGUCCUUAGUUGCACCAUUCAGUGGCACUAAGAGCUCCGGCAACCGAGGAAGGUGGGGAUGACGUCAAGUCUCAUGGCCUUAUUGGUAGGGCUUCACCUCAUCAAUGGCGUCAAAGGCUGGAACCCCAGGGGAGCCAAUCUCAGAAAGCCGAUCAAGUCCGGAUUGUUUUGAAACCACUCCCGAGUCUUCCUCCCAGAGUGAG